AUUGAACGCUGGCGGCAGGCUUAACACAUGCAAGUCGAGCGGAGAUGAGGUGCUUGCACCUUAUCUUAGCGGCGGACGGGUGAGUAAUGCUUAGGAAUCUGCCUAUUAGUGGGGGACAACAUUCCGAAAGGAAUGCUAAUACCGCAUACGCCCUACGGGGGAAAGCAGGGGAUCUUCGGACCUUGCGCUAAUAGAUGAGCCUAAGUCGGAUUAGCUAGUUGGUGGGGUAAAGGCCUACCAAGGCGACGAUCUGUAGCGGGUCUGAGAGGAUGAUCGGCCACACUGGGACGGAGACACGGCCCAGACUCCUACGGGAGGCAGCAGUAGGGAAUAUUGGACAAUGGGCGGAAGCCUGAUCCAGCCAUGCCGCGUGUGGGAAGAAGGCCUUUUGGUUGUAAAGCACUUUAAGCGAGGAGGAGGCUACCUGGAUUAAUACUCUAGGAUAGUGGACGUUACUCGCAGAAUAAGCACCGGCUAACUCUGUGCCAGCCGCCGCCGUAAAAC
rnacentral:rRNA from 1 species